rnacentral:lncRNA from 1 species
AUAUGUCGAAUGUAUGUGUGUAGUAGGAAAAUUAAUUUUCAAUAUAUUGAUUUCUUUGUUUUCUUCUAAUGUUGAUGUUCUGUUGUCUAUUUUAAUUCCAUUGAACGACAUUGUUCAUUGAGAGGUAAUUUUCUUCUUCUUGUUUUUUACAUUUGAUCUCUACUCGUUUCACUACCAUCUUUAAACGUAAAGGUGGAAUUUUUCAGGCUUCCCAAGGAAAACAGAAGAUUCGUCGGAGAUACCUCUGUGGUAUGCUUAUUUCGUAUUCCCUAUUAUCCUCCAUUUCGCACUGUUUUUCAUUCUUCUGUUUUAUCUUUGGGUGUUGUUUGUUGACUGCAAAUAUGUAUUAGAGAAUUAAUUUUGAAUCCUUUGAUUUAUUUGUUGGUUUCUCUUCAUGUUGCGUUUUGUAAUACUUGUUUCUUUCGUUUCGUUUCAGAAUAAUAUUAUUUGCUUUUAAUGAAAUUUUGUAAUAAGUUGUAAUUUUCUGAUUCUCGUUUUUACAUUUGAUGUCUGUUCUUUUCUAUACCUUCUAUAGGCGUAAUAGUGGAAUUUCAAGGUUUAUCGGGGACAAGAGAAGUUUGAUUUGAAAUAGGUCUUGGGUAAGUUUUCUCGGUAUUCCCUAUUCUCUAGAAUUUCUCGCAGUACUUUAAUCUUCUCUUUUAUGUUUGGGUGUUAUAUGUCGAAUGUAAGUGUGUAGUAGGAAAAUUAAUUUUCAAUAUAUUGAUUUCUUUAUUUUCUUCUAAUGUUGAUGUUCUGUUGUCUAUUUUAAUUCCAUUGAACGACAUUGUUCAUUGAGAGGUAAUUUUCUUCUUCAUGUUUUUUACAUUUGAUCUCUACUCCUUUCACUACCAUCUUUAAACGUAAGGGUGGAAUUUUUCAGGUUUCCCGGGGACAAGAGAAGAUUCGUCGGAGAUACCUCUGUAGUAUGCUUAUUUCGUAUUCCCUAUUAUCCUCCAUUUCGCACUGUUAUUCAUUCUUCUGUUUUAUCUUUGGGUGUUGUUUGUUGACUGCAAAUAUGUAUUAGAGAAUUAAUUUUGAAUCCUUUGAUUUAUUUGUUGGUUUCUGAGCUUCAUGUUGCGUUUUGUAAUACUUGUUUCUUUCGUUUCGUUUCAGAAUAAUAUUAUUUGCUUUUAAUGAAAUUGUGCCAUCAGUUGUAAUUUUCUUAUUCUCGUUCUUACAUUUGAUGUCUGCUCUUUUCUAUACCUUCUAUAGGUGUAAGAGUGGAAUUUCAAGGUUUAUCGGGGACAAGAGAAGAUUGAUUGGAAAUAGGUCUUGGGUAAGUUUUCUCAGUAUUCCCUAUUCUCUAGAAUUUGUCGCUGUACUUUAAUUUUCUCUUUUAUGUUUGGGUGUUAUAUGUCGAAUGUAUGUGUGUAGUAGGGAAAUUAAUUUUCAAUAUAUUGAUUUCUUUGUUUUCUUCUAAUGUUGAUGUUCUGUUGUCUAUUUUAAUUCCAUUGAACGACAUUGUUCAUUGAGAGGUAAUUUUCUUCUUCUUGUUUUUUACAUUUGAUCUCUACUCGUUUCACUACCAUCUUUAAACGUAAAGGUGGAAUGUUUCAGGCUUCCCGGGGAAAACAGAAGAUUCGUCGGAGAUACCUCUGUAGUAUGCUUAUUUCGUAUUCCCUAUUAUCC